rnacentral:rRNA from 1 species
CCUACGGGAGGCAGCAGUGGGGGAUAUUGCACAAUGGGGGAAACCCUGAUGCAGCGACGCCGCGUGGGUGAAGAAGCGCCUCGGCGCGUAAAGCCCUGUCAGCAGGGAAGACAAUGACGGUACCUGAAGAAGAAGCCACGGCUAACUACGUGCCAGCAGCCGCGGUAAUACGUAGGGGGCAAGCGUUAUCCGGAUGUACUGGGUGUAAAGGGGGCGCAGACGGCGAUGCAAGCCAGGAGUGAAAGCCCGGGGCCCAACCCCGGGACUGCUCUUGGAACUGCGUGGCUAGAGUGCAGGAGGGGCAGGCGGAAUUCCUGGUGUAGCGGUGAAAUGCGUAGAUAUCAGGAGGAACACCGGUGGCGAAGGCGGCCUGCUGGACUGCAACUGACGUUGAGGCCCGAAAGCGUGGGGAGCAAACAGGAUUAGAUACCCCAGUAGUC